AUUAUUAUAUAUUUAUAGAUGAUGAGGUGUUGCAUAACGUAAGCAAUAAUAAUUAGGGGUGAUAGGCUUCUCAACUUCAAUGAUAGCUUGAUAAUCAUAAAAUGUAAGAGUACAAAAACACUUUUAGAAUGAUAAGGUUUUAAAGGUAAAAUAAUGUACUUAGAUUAAAAAAUGCUCUGUUUAAUCACUAGCAUACUUAUAAUAUAUAAUAUAUUAAGUGUGGUUGUUUUAAUUACUGAUUAAUACAUCAACAAUGUGCGUCUAUGAAUAAUGUUGAUAUUAGUAUUAUUAAGUACAAAACAUGAACUCGGCAAUAAGUCUUUUAACUGUUUAUCAAAAACAUAGCUACAUGCAUUUAUAUGUGGUAAUUUCUGCUCAAUGAAUUUUAAAUAGCCGCAGUACUCUGACUGUGCUAAGGUAGCGCAAUCAAUUGGCUUUUAAAUGGAGUCCUGUAUGAAAGAAAACAUAAAGGGCUACUUUAUUUUUUGUAAUUGCUGAACUUACUUAAAAAGUGCAAAUUCUUUUAGAAAAACAAUAGACGAGAAGACCCUAGAAAUUUUACAGAGUCAGUCUUUUUGUUGGGGCAACAAAGUAGCAAUAUAACCUACUAAAAUUACAUGAAAAAUAUCUUUUGUAAGAUUAAAUUACUCUAGGGAUAACAGCAUAAUUUGCAAAAGUUUGUGACCUCGAUGUUGGAUUAGGGUAUUAACAUUUAAAAG
rnacentral:rRNA from 1 species